rnacentral:lncRNA from 1 species
UAAACCUUCCACAGUCCUUCUAGACUGUAAUUCUGCACUCCCAAAUAUUUUCUCUGUGGACUUACUAUCACAAAGUCAUCCUUUAUCCCAGGUUUUCAAGAACAAAGCACAAACAUCUCAAUAUGAAUAGUAUGAAUACUCAACUGUCUUCAAUGAAGGUGAAAUCUAUAUGGGAAUGAAGUCAAAAGUUUAGUUUUAGAGACAAUUGUCCUAUCAUAGUUUGACAUUUUGUUAUAUAGCUAAACAUAAUAUGUGCUUCAUCAGUAGGAUACAGAUGAAGAUGAAUGGACUUUGGAGUGAAUAUGGCAAUUUAAAAAAUAGAUAAUUCAUAUUUUGGACCAGAUUUUCUUAGCUCUUUGGACAACACAUAUCAGUUUCAAAUAU